rnacentral:tRNA from 1 species
GCGGAAGUGGCGGAAUUGGCAGACGCGCUAGAUUCAGGUUCUAGUGGCCGCAAGGCCAUGGGGGUUCAAGUCCCUUCUUCCGCA